UACGUAGGGGGCAAGCGUUGUCCGGAUUUAUUGGGCGUAAAGAGCGUGUAGGCGGCUAGAUAGGUCCGUUGUGAAAACUCGAGGCUCAACCUCGAGACGUCGAUGGAAACCAUCUGGCUAGAGUCCGGAAGAGGAGAGUGGAAUUCCUGGUGUAGCGGUGAAAUGCGCAGAUAUCAGGAAGAACACCCGUGGCGAAGGCGGCUCUCUGGUACGUGACUGACGCUUAGACGCGAAAGCGUGGGGAGCAAACAGG
rnacentral:rRNA from 1 species